rnacentral:rRNA from 1 species
CAGCAGCCACGGUAAUACGUAGGUGGCAAGCGUUGUCCGGAAUUAUUGGGCGUAAAGGGCUCGCAGGCGGUUUCUUAAGUCUGAUGUGAAAGCCCCCGGCUCAACCGGGGAGGGUCAUUGGAAACUGGGAAACUUGAGUGCAGAAGAGGAGAGUGGAAUUCCACGUGUAGCGGUGAAAUGCGUAGAGAUGUGGAGGAACACCAGUGGCGAAGGCGACUCUCUGGUCUGUAACUGACGCUGAGGAGCGAAAGCGUGGGGAGCGAACAGGAUUAGAUACCCCUGUAGUCCCUGUCUCUUAUAA